rnacentral:rRNA from 1 species
ACCGGCAGCUCAAGUGGUGGCCAUUAUUAUUGGGCCAAAAGCGUUCGUAGCCGGUUUGAUAAGUCUCUGGUGAAAUCCCGCAGCUUAACUGUGGGACUUGCUGGAGAUACUAUCAGACUUGAGGUCGGGAGAGGUUAUGGGUACUCCCAGGGUAGGGGUGAAAUCCUAUAAUCCUGGGAGGAGUACCUUUGGCGAAGGCGCCUAACUGGAACGAACCUGACGGUGAGUAACGGAAGCCAGGGGUGCGAACCG